AUGUACAGGGUGUUGGCGCCGUCUCGCCGCGACAGGGUGUUGGCGCCGUCUCGCCGCGACAGGGUGUUGGCGCCGUCUCGCCGCGGCAGGGUGUUGGCGCGACAGGGUGUUGCCGCGACAGGGUGUUGGAGCCGUCUCGCCGCGACAGGGUGUUGGAGCCGUCUCGCCGCGACAGGGUGUUGGAGCCGUCUCGCCGCGACAGGGUGUUGGAGCCGUCUCGCCGCGACAGGGUGUUGGAGCCGUCUCGCCGCGACAGGGUGUUGGAGCCGUCUCGCCGCGACAGGGUGUUGGAGCCGUCUCGCCGCGACAGGGUGUUGGAGCCGUCUCGCCGCGACAGGGUGUUGGAGCCGUCUCGCCGCGACAGGGUGUUGGAGCCGUCUCGCCGCGACAGGGUGUUGGAGCCGUCUCGCCGCGACAGGGUGUUGGAGCCGUCUCGCCGCGACAGGGUGUUGGAGCCGUCUCGCCGCGACAGGGUGUUGGAGCCGUCUCGCCGCGACAGGGUGUUGGAGCCGUCUCGCCGCGACAGGGUGUUGGCGCCGUCUCGCCGCGACUGGGUGUUGGCGCCGUCUCGCCGCGACAGGGUGUUGGCGCCGUCUCGCCGCGACAGGGUGUUGGAGCCGUCUCGCCGCGACAGGGUGUUGGAGCCGUCUCGCCGCGACAGGGUGUUGGAGCCGUCUCGCCGCGACAGGGUGUUGGAGCCGUCUCGCCGCGACAGGGUGUUGGAGCCGUCUCGCCGCGACAGGGUGUUGCCGCGACAGGGUGUUGGAGCAGUCUCGCCGCGACAGGGUGUUGCCGCGACAGGGUGUUGGAGCAGUCUCGCCGCGACAGGGUGUUGCCGCGACAGGGUGUUGGCGCCGUCUCGCCGCGACAGGGUGUUGGAGCCGUCUCGCCGCGACAGGGUGUUGGCGCCGUCUCGCCGCGACAGGGUGUUGGCGCCGUCUCGCCGCGACAGGGUGUUGGCGCCGUCUCGCCGCGACAGGGUGUUGGCGCCGUCUCGCCGCGACAGGGUGUUGGAGCCGCCUCGCCGCGACAGGGUGUUGGAGCCGCGACAGGGUGUUGGAGCCGUCUCGCCGCGACAGGGUGUUGGAGCAGUCUUGCCGUGACAGGGUGUUGGAGCCGUCUCGCCGUGACAGGGUGUUGGAGCCGUCUCGCCGCGACAGGGUGUUGGAGCCGUCUCACUGUAACAUUAAGAAUUCUUGUUGUCACCUCUAUUUUCUCAUUGUAAAGGAUAAACCGUUAUUGCUAAUGAAGAAACCUGUGCCUCCCAAAACACCAUGUGACCGAGCCAUAUCAGCUGAUAAAGAGACUGUACCACCACUGUCCAUGUCCAUGAACCAACAGGCACUGGACCCAGAGGAAGAGGAGAACCUACAGAGGAUACAGUACAGGAAGCAGAAGCUGUUCUCAGAGAAACUGCAGUGGAUUUACAUGGUCCUGUGUGGCAUCUCUCACAUGCGAAACAGAGAUCUGAAGACACUGGUUCCUCUCAACAGCAGCUAUGUGAACAUCAUCAUGAAGGACACAGAGAAGACCAACAUCCUGCUGAAGCAGUCGCACAGCUACAACCCUCCGUUGAAUUACACCAGGCAGCUGGUGUCCCUGGCCCCAGAGGACUGUCACAGCAUCAGCCGUGACGUGUGGGACACCUUCAUCAGUCACCAGGACACCACAGAGCCCUCGAAGUUAACCACCACCCGAACCACAGGAUAUAAAGCUCUGCAGUCGGGGCCCAGGCGCAAGGUGCCAGACGGAGAUGGAUACAUGCCCCCAUGGCUGCUACUGCUGCUGGAUGAGAACACGUCCCUAGAGAAGAAAACAGUAAAGCCUGGUGUAGACCAGUCAGGCAUGCUGGAGAGAGCCAAGGAGCAUUACCGGGAUGUGAAGAAGGUUCUGAACAUUCCAAUGGAGUCAGUAGUGUUUGAAAAGAGAAAGAACCGAGAGGAGAGGAUGAGAACUCUUUUCAAUGCUCUAAUGGCCUCAAAGUCCGACGCUGGUCUGUCCUCACUCCUUACCUCUCUGAAGAGUGGGCUGAAGGAGCCCAAAUCCACCACUGGUCUCUGGUUUGCGACACUGCAGAGUGAUGCCACAGAAUUGUCUGGAGACAGAGACUCCCAAUACAACGUCAUACUGCAGAAGAUCUCAGAGUUUCAAAGCUUCUCCAACAAAAAGCUCCCCUACUCCAAGGAGAAGUUCUGUCUCCUGGUCCUCUCCAUGUCACCCAAUCAGCUGCUUCGACCGGCCAUGCAGGAAGCACUGCUCUUCCUCACGGAGAACGUGCUGCUGUUGUUGCCGCGGCAACUCAAACAGUGGUACCAGUACCUGAAGCUCCCCUUCCCCACCACGGCAACCGCCUCCUGA
ensembl:lncRNA